CUGGGCAGCUUUGUCACCCACUAACUGGUUCUGGGUCCCAGAUUUGGAUUGGAUUUAGAAGAUCUGAUUCCAGGGAAGUGAUGUCGAGGUUUGGGAGGUCCUGGGUGGUGGAUGAAGAAAGGAGGAAGUUCAGAAGCCAUUAGCAACAGUGGUUCAGGCCCAUUUCAAGUCUCUAGCUUAGCCUACUGAGGAAUAACCAAGGCUAGAAUUCUAGACUAAAGGAGAGCCUACACUUCUGCCACUGUCACUAAUAGAGCUUUCCAGCUGGUGGAGGAGUCCAGCAACAAGUCUACUUGUUAGUCUUCUUGCUGAGACCUAAACUCAAGAAGCAAAUAGAAGCCAGAUACCCCCAAAAUGUUGGCCAUUGAUGCCUCUUGUGCUGAUCAAUUAAAGACAACUUCUCACCUGGUCCCUCAGUCCAGAAAGGCAUCACCCCGAGAAGUGCCCAUGUUUUUUUCCUGACUAAUAAAUGCCCAAGUGACAGCUGUACCACUUCACAUUUCAGACUUGGUGAGUUUUGUUCCUGGUCCUGUCCUUUGCCUAAUAGAGCUGAACCCUUCACAAAUGAGUGUUCCCUACUAGCAAAUGCCUUGGCUCUACUUUCAGAACCUGUGUGUGCAUUGAUUGCCUCAAUUGACAGAAUUUGAUUCAAGGUAGUGGACCGGCAGUCCUGCCACAGAAGAAGGUUGCUGGAGCCUUCAAGUGUUAUGACCUUCAUUAAUACUCUGUGCCCUGAAAUCACUUCAAAGUAAAAUAGCCCUGAAGAUUCCAGGGUCAAAUUCUCCUUGAAAUGCUAGAUGGAGAAGAAGGACAUCCUAGCAGAGAAGGGUUUAAUCAACAUAAAGAAAUCAAAAGCAUUACAAAAUAAAUAAAUAAAAAAUAAAAAGCUCUCA
rnacentral:lncRNA from 1 species